GACACUAUAGCCAAGUGGUUACGGGGACAGAUUUGAAAUCUCAUUAUCUGUUCCUCUCUGACGGCGUAGGUUCGAACCCUACUGGUGUCG
rnacentral:tRNA from 1 species